GACGAACGCUGGCGGCGUGCCUAAUACAUGCAAGUCGAACGCUUCUUUCCUCCCGAGUGCUUGCACUCAAUUGGAAAGAGGAGUGGCGGACGGGUGAGUAACACGUGGGUAACCUACCCAUCAGAGGGGGAUAACACUUGGAAACAGGUGCUAAUACCGCAUAGGUAUGGACACUGCAUGGUGACCAUAUUAAAAGUGCCAAGGCACUGGUAGAGGAUGGACUUAUGGCGCAUUAGCUGGUUGGUGAGGUAACGGCUCACCAAGGCGACGAUGCGUAGCCGACCUGAGAGGGUGACCGGCCACACUGGGACUGAGACACGGCCCAG
rnacentral:rRNA from 1 species